AUUGAACGCUGGCGGAAUGCUUUACACAUGCCAGUCGAACGGCAGCACGGGGGCAACCCUGGUGGCGAGUGGCGAACGGGUGAGUAAUACAUCGGAACGUGCCCGGUCGUGGGGGAUAACGUAGCGAAAGUUACGCUAAUACCGCAUACGAUCUGAGGAUGAAAGCGGGGGACCUUCGGGCCUCGCGCGAUCGGAGCGGCCGAUGUCAGAUUAGGUAGUUGGUGGGGUAAAGGCCUACCAAGCCGACGAUCUGUAGCUGGUCUGAGAGGACGACCGGCCACACUGGGACUGAGACACGGCCCAGACUCCUACGGGAGGCAGCAGUGGGGAAUUUUGGACAAUGGGCGCAAGCCUGACCCAGCCAUUCCGCGUGCAGGACGAAGGCCUUCGGGUUGUAAACUGCUUUUGUAUGGAACGAAAAGGCUCUGGCUAAUACCUGGGGCUCAUGACGGUACCGUAAGAAUAAGCACCGGCUAACUACGUG
rnacentral:rRNA from 1 species